rnacentral:rRNA from 1 species
UCUACGGGAGGCAGCAGUGGGGAAUAUUGCACAAUGGGGGAAACCCUGAUGCAGCAACGCCGCGUGAGCGAUGAAGGCCUUCGGGUCGUAAAGCUCUGUCCUAAGGGAAGAUAGUGACGGUACCUUAGGAGGAAGCCCCGGCUAACUACGUGCCAGCAGCCGCGGUAAUAAUCAA